rnacentral:rRNA from 1 species
UGACAUUGAUCGCCAUUCCAAGAAAUUGGAAGUUCUUCCUUCGGGAAGACGAGAAAACAGGUGGUGCACGGCUGUCGUCAGCUCGUGUCGUGAGAUGUUGGGGUUAAGUCCCGCAACGAGCGCAACCCCUAUCUUAUGUUGCCAGCACGUUAUGGUGGGGACUCAUGAGAGAUUUUCCGCGGACAACGCGGAGGAAGGUGGGGAUGACGUCAAGUCAUCAUGCCCCUUAUGACCUGGGCUACACACGUACUACAAUGGGUGUCAACAAAGAGAAGCGAAACCGCGAGGUGGAGCGAACCUCAAAAACACACCCCCAGUUCAGAUUGCAGGCUGCAACCCGCCUGCAUGAAGUAGGAAUCGCUAGUAAUCGCGGGUCAGCAUACCGCGGUGAAUACGUUCCCGGGCCUUGUACACACCGCCCGUCACACUAUGAGAGUCGGAAACACCCGAAGCCGGUGAGGUAACCGCAAGGAGCCAGCCGUCGAAGGUGGAGCUGAUGAUUGGAGUGAAGUCGUAACAAGGUAGCCG